rnacentral:sRNA from 1 species
AUGGAGCAUCUGAUAUUACACAUGAUGUUGGUGUUGAUGUUUCUGCCUCUUCUUCUUCCCCUCAUCUCUCCAAAUUAACACAUCUGACACUCCAUGGAUUUGAGGAUUUGGCAUCACUGCCAGAAGAAAUAAGCAAUCUCACGUCACUUCAGAAGCUUACAAUUAGAGUUUGCCCUAAUUUGGCAUCAAUACCAGAAGGGAUUCGUGGACUCCCCUGUUUAAAUACAUUGGUGAUUGAGAAAUGCCCCAUGUUAAGCGAAAGAUGCAAAAAAGAAACAGGUGAGGACUGGCUUAAGAUUGCUCACAUCCCAUCCGUUGAAAUUGAUAAAUCUUAAGAUAGCAUACCAUGUGGAUCAAUGAUUUCGGUAUGCAUUCAUUACCCACUCAAUUUAAUUUAUUUAUUUAUUUUUAGUUCGUCAACCUUUUGGAUUCAAUAUGUAAGGGCCAUGUUGAUUGCUUGGAGUGGUUGUAUAUGAUUUUACUUUUGAUCGUUGGGGUUUAAGUACUAUAUCAUCUCGUUGUAUAUUUUUUCUUUAAAUAAUAUAAUAUGGGCGUGAGGGUCUAGCCCCCCAGCUUCGACUGGGUUCCAGCCCUCUUUAAAUUUUUUUU